GUUGGAGUGGGGGAAGGCAGGGAUUUGAGAAGAUUGUAGGGGGUCUGUGUAGGGCUGGCGUCCCCCCAGCCCCAAACCUUAUGGAGUUCGCGCGCUUCAAAGCGCCUGCCAUGGUUAUUCCCCGGGGAUCUGAUCUCUAAGCCCAAAUGUGCGGAAUGAACCUGCGCUGAGCCUUUCCUAUUCUCGCCUUUUGCCCUUGGGCUUCAAGACCUGCGCAGAAAUGAGUUGUAAAUCAAAGAAGCAGAAGCCUCCUUAGCAACGCCUGGAGAAGGACUCCUGAUAACACACACACACACACUAGUUCCUGAGAACUUUAGAAGAUAUGCCACACCAAACAAGGUCCUCCCUCCAAGCUGUGUACCAAGAGUGGUGCCUCUGGGAACGCUUCAGACAGCCUCAGAGUGUCGGGCCUGCCUGCAGCGAAGUAUUUUAAAAAGCACAGCAAGCCAGACGUGGUGGCUCAGGCCUGCAAGUCCAGCGAUUGGGUCUCGAAAGCAGGAGAGGACUUGCCCCGAGUUCAAGGCCAGCCCGAGCUUCAUAAUGAGAAAUCAAAGCAAAUGAGGAGCCCACAGGCAAGGAAACUGAGGUAUCCUGUUCAAACCUGCGCCACCCUGCUGCAGCAAAGAUCGAGUCCACCUGACCCUAUGGUCCUGGUUCAACUCUACUACACAAGUGGCCUCCUGUGCCCCUCUCUAGUCUAGUUCCUGCCCCCCCCAAUAAAACUCCAGUGUUCCCUGGGCAGAUCCAUCAAAGGCCUCUUCAAAAUGACACACAUAAAUGGAGUGUGAUGGCUCACACCUGGAAUCCCAGAUGUUGAAACAGGAGGAUUGCUGUGAGUUUGAGGCCAAUUUGGGCUGCAUAGUGAGACUGGUCUCAACACACACUCACACUUUGGUGUGGUGAUUUAGGCCUAUAAUCCCCAGCACUAGGGAGGUGGAGGCAAGAGGAUGACGAUUUCAAGGCUAGCCUUGGCUACUUAGUAGAGUUGGCGGUGAGCCUGGACUACAUGAGGAUCUGUCUAACCAAAAUAAAACAAACCAUAAUUUGAGAUGUUCA
rnacentral:lncRNA from 1 species